UAGACCUGUUGCAAAGUUGUUCCAACAAGUCCGACGCAGUCAUGAUAUAAAAAUAUUGUUACAACCUUGUGUCGUCAACCUUGUAACAUUCUUGUUAUAUCAUGACUGUAUCAGACUUGUUAAAACAACCUUGUAACAAGUCUG